CAAAGGAGAGAUCCGGUACCGGCUGGGCAUGCGGCGCAUUAGCUAGUUGGCGGGGCAACGGCCCACCAAGGCGACGAUGCGUAGGGGUUCUGAGAGGAAGGUCCCCCACACUGGAACUGAGACACGGUCCAGACUCCUACGGGAGGCAGCAGUGAGGAAUAUUGGUCAAUGGGCGCAAGCCUGAACCAGCCAAGUCGCGUGAGGGAAGACGGCCCUACGGGUUGUAAACCUCUUUUGCCGGGGAGCAAGCCUGAGCACGUGUGCCCAGGCGGAGAGUACCCGGAGAAAAAGCAUCGGCUAACUCCGUGCCAGCAGCCGCGGUAAUACGGAGGAUGCGAGCGUUAUCCGGAUUUAUUGGGUUUAAAGGGUGCGCAGGCGGGCUGUUAAGCCGGCGGUAAAAAUUCAGGGCUCAACCCUGUCGAGCCGUCGGAACUGGCAGUCUUGAGUGGGCGAGAAGUAUGCGGAAUGCGUGGUGUAGCGGUGAAAUGCAUAGAUAUCACGCAGAACGCCGAUUGCGAAGGCAGCAUACCGGCGCCCAACUGACGCUGAGGCACGAAAGCGUGGGGAUCGAACAGGAUUAGAUACCCUGGUAGUCCACGCAGUAAACGAU
rnacentral:rRNA from 1 species